UCAUGAACAACGCAAUUUUUACACAUUCUCGAAACGCAUUUUCGAUUUUGAGGCCCCCAGUGCUGCCAUGGUUCGCGCCGGAAGCAGUGCUUGGCUGGUGCCCAGGACAUAUUGAAGUUUUCGGACAGAAUGGAGAGGAAAUCACAACGCACACUCUUGGGUGCGGCACUUCUCUAUGCCAAUGGCCGUGGGGAGCGCCGCAAUGAUUGGGCGUACAU
rnacentral:sRNA from 1 species